CCUACGGGAGGCAGCAGUGGGGAAUAUUGGGCAAUGGGCGCAAGCCUGACCCAGCAACGCCGCGUGAAGGAAGAAGGCUUUCGGGUUGUAAACUUCUUUUCUCAGGGACGAAGCAAGUGACGGUACCUGAGGAAUAAGCCACGGCUAACUACGUGCCAGCAGCCGCGGUAAUACGUAGGUGGCAAGCGUUAUCCGGAUUUACUGGGUGUAAAGGGCGUGUAGGCGGGAAAGCAAGUCAGAUGUGAAAACCAUGGGCUCAACCUGUGGCCUGCAUUUGAAACUGUUUUUCUUGAGUACUGGGGAGGCAGACGGAAUUCCUAGUGUAGCGGUGAAAUGCGUAGAUAGUAGGAGGAACACCAGUGGCGAAGGCGGUCUGCUGGACAGCAACUGACGCUGAGGCGCGAAAGCGUGGGGAGCAAACAGGAUUAGAUACCCCGGUAGUC
rnacentral:rRNA from 1 species